GUCUUCGUAGCGCAGUUGGUUAGCGCGUAGGUCUCAUAUUUGUAUGAUCCGGUCAAAAAUCGGGCCAUCCUAAGGUCGUGAGUUCGAGUCUCACCGAGGACA